AACGAACGCUGGCGGCAUGCCUAACACAUGCAAGUCGAACGAUCCCUUCGGGGAUAGUGGCGCACGGGUGCGGAACGCGGGGGAACCUGCCCGUAGGUUCGGAAUAACUCAGAGAAAUUUGAGCUAAUACCGGAUAAUGUCUUCGGACCAAAGAUUUAUCGCCUUUGGAUGGGCCCGCGUUGGAUUAGCUAGUUGGUGGGGUAAAGGCCUACCAAGGCGACGAUCCAUAGCUGGUCUGAGAGGAUGAUCAGCCACACUGGGACUGAGACACGGCCCCGACUCCUACGGGAGGCAGCAGUGGGGUAUAUUGGACAAUGGGCGAAAGCCUGAUCCCGCCAUGCCGCGUGAGUGAUGAAGGCCUUAGGGUUGUAAAGCUCUUUUACCCGGGAUGAUAAUGACAGUACCGGGAGAAUAAGCCCCGGCUAACUCCGUG
rnacentral:rRNA from 1 species